GAGAGAAGAUGAAUUGGCCAUAAUGAUAAUCCUAUGAUCCAAUUUAGGAGGAGUAAACUGUAGACAGCAUCAUAACUUCAGGAAAGACUGACUAUCACAAACAGUAGAUGAGGCCACAAGACAUAAUACCCUAGAAUCUGGAACCAAACCACUACAACUAGCAAACAAAAUAAAACAAGUGUCAUGUAACUUGUAGUGUAGGGCAGGGCACCAGGAGUUAGGACUAGGAUUCUAUUUUUGAAUAGUCAACAGAUUUAAUGUAACCUAGGCCAAGUCACAAUCUCUCUAACUCAGUUUCCUCAUAUGGGACAAGGGAAUGAUUAUAUAAGGUACAAUAUUCUGUAAAUGUUCAUUCAUGUCUUUUGAAGAAGAGUGCCAUGGAAAUGUGAGCCUUUGACAAAUGGGAAGGGUAUUACUCUUUUUCAGACAUCUCAGCCAUUUGGUUAACUACAUUUCCUGUAAGGAUUAAAACCAUAGACAGUGGGUCCUGAGAGUGUCUCCAGGAAUACUAGGGAAGCAGGAAAUGCAAGCAGGAAGCCACGAGAGCAAAUGAAAACAGAAUGUGGGUUUUUGAACUGGAAGCAUUGAUCUUCCUGUGCAGUCUUUGUGUCCAGAGCAGAGAUGGGAGAGAGAAAUUCAGCCAAGAAAACCAGCAAGGAGGAUUCAACAACAACCAUACCUACUGAAGGACUAAGACUUGGAAAAACAGAUUGAGCCAAGCAGACAGAGUGAAGUGAUCUGGUUGCGGAAAAAGCAAUUGCCCGUGAUCCUGUGUCAGUAGAUCGGGCCAAUUGGGAAGACAAUACGGAGGAUGAGGCAACAUGUGGAACAGUCCUGACAGGAUCAACGAAUGAGGGAGCUAUUUCUCCGUCUGUGUCCGAAGAUGGUCAGAAAGAACUGGUGGGAGCUGGACCGCGCGACCAGAAAUGGCGGAAAAAGCUGCAAGAUGGCCACAGCGCAUGCACGGUCUGGCAGACAACAGCUGAAAGAUUUCUGAACUGCAGCGCCAGGACGAGCCUGACACCCACAGUGGAGCACUCACGGGGACACUACCCAAAGAAGUUACAGCUAACCUCAGACUAAAUGCAGAGGAAACAACCAUCUUAAACUCAAUCCAGACUGGUAUAAUACGAUGUUUAUGAAGAGAGAGACUUGAAGGACAAGUAGAAGUGUUUCCUACGUAUCUAUUACUGAGGAUGUUUUUCAAUCAUUUUGUCCAAGUGGUUUAAAAACUACGUGCAUUUUUGGACAACAAGACUGGUACUGUAAUGUUAAGCAUUCAAGAUAAUCAAAAGAACUUUUUCCCCUUACCUUGAUUCUGCGGUCAGACUAUGGUUACCAUUUCAUUUGCUACAGCAAUGUGUAUCCCAUGUCCUCUACACUGGACUACAAGAGGCUAACCUUAAAGAGCAUUUGGAAGCUACAGCAGGUACAGAAUGUAACUACCUGCCUGCUGUGUACAGAAUGCUAUAGAGAGCUAGCUACCUAUAGCAGUUUUAUAGGAAUCUCACUACCUUCCUUUUCAACAUCCAGAUGCAACUCACAGUGUUACAUGAUCUAUAAAACCCUACAUGGCUUGAGUCCUGGCCAAGAAACCAUCUCCCCUCAAUGAACAAUGUAGUAGAUGAGCCAGAACACUUGGGAGCUGAUGGCAGAUAUUGUAGUGAUGUUUACUGUAUAAAACUCACUACAUGGAUUAGAUGGAUUGUGUCCUAAGGCCUUACAGGCGCUAGAUAGGCCACACACAGGGCCAGUAGGAGGUUUUUGCUUGAGGAGGUGUUGAUAGAUUGCUGUUUAGCUCAGUAAUACACAGACUGAGGCUCAAGAGCCUCUUUAACAAAUCUCCUAUGGCUCUUUGCAGCACAUAUUAAAAUAUCAUGAAAUAUCAUUAUUAACCAAUCUGAACAUUUUUACUACAUUAACUAUUUAUAGGACACCUGGUCAGUCAUUCUGCUGUGGGAAUGAAUUCUCACUACUGUGACUCUUUCAGGUAAGGCUGAUCACAAAUUUGGCUCCUGAAUAAAUAAUGUCUUUGUGUCACUGGUUUAGCUUUUCUGGUGGCCAAGGGAUUUUUAGUAUAUACAUUCUGUAGAAAUUCUUUAAAAUUAUUUAGUUGUGACUUGAAUCUUUAUUUUUACUUUGUAAAAAAUACAUCUCUAUAGUUAUAAAGAUUUCUCUCUCACACACUAUACAUUAACAUAAUUGCAUCUACUUACCUCCAACACAUAGUUUACCACACAUUCUAAUCUCACAUAGAACCAAAUUUACUUGCAUCACAAGCAGCUGAUAUUUUAUAUUGCUCAUAUGAGAAAAAAGUUAGAUCUUCCAUCCUAUUUCUAACUUCACAAACCUACAAGGACACUAGAUACAGUAUUGUACUAUAUGCAAUCUAUAACAUCUAGCAAUUACUUUCAUUCCAUCAAACUGUGUCUCCACUCUCUGUUUAGGAGAAAAGUAACAGAUCAUUCUCCAAGAAAGUACAAAACUCUAACAUUGAAUAUGUUUAUGGCAAGUGGUUCAUACACUAAUAAAAAGGGACCACUCAACCACUGGAAAAAUAGAUAUGCCAAUAAUAGCUACUAUGAAGUUAUUUUACAAAACUUUGAAGACUGAGUAUAUCCACCACUUUAUACACUCCAUUCUUACAAUGUACACAUAAGAGAGGCACAUGAUUCUAAAUAUAACUGUCACAUUACCGAAUUGGAGGGAAGCAGCCAG